ensembl:snoRNA
GGAAGGCCUUGUCGUGCCCCACCCCAGAUCAAACCGUGGCCUUGACCCAAUGUUGGCCUCUGCCCGUAGGGUGCAGGGACUGAAGUGGGUUACACGGAA